rnacentral:tRNA from 1 species
UGGCAGAUCGUCCAAUGGUAGGACAAGCGCCUUUGGAGCGCUGAAUCAAGGUUCGAGUCCUUGUCUGCCAG